rnacentral:rRNA from 1 species
UACGUAGGUGGCAAGCGUUGUCCGGAUUUAUUGGGUUUAAAGGGUGCGUAGGCGGCUUUGUAAGUCAGUGGUGAAAUAUGGCAGCUUAACUGUCAAGGUGCCAUUGAUACUGCAGAGCUUGAGUACAGAUGAGGUAGGCGGAAUUGACGGUGUAGCGGUGAAAUGCUUAGAUAUCGGCAAGAACACCUAUAGCGAAGGCAGCUUACUAAGCUGUAACUGACGCUGAGGCACGAAAGUGUGGGGAUCAAACAGG